rnacentral:rRNA from 1 species
GUGUCAGCAGCCGCGGUAAGACGGAGGAGGCUAGCGUUGUUCGGAAUUACUGGGCGUAAAGCGCACGCAGGCGGCGUGCCAAGUCGGAGGUGAAAUCCCGGGGCUCAACCCCGGAACGGCCUCCGAUACUGGCGUGCUGGAACGAGGGAGAGGAGAGCGGAAUUCCCAGUGUAGAGGUGAAAUUCGUAGAUAUUGGGAAGAACACCGGUGGCGAAGGCGGCUCUCUGGCCCUCUGUUGACGCUCAUGUGCGAAAGCGUGGGGAGCAAACAGGAUUAGAUACCCUCGUAGUCC